GGAAGAUAUGAUCCAUAUAAGUUUGAAUACUCUCCAGUGAGAUAAUCAUGCUUAAAAUACACCACUGGCUGUUCAAUCUACUCUUUACUAAUCUUCAUUGAAAUAAAACAGUGAAAAAGUGGAAGUUGCUCAGAAUGUUAAUGCUUCAUCUAAUCAUUUUUGAGAGCUACACGUAAACCAUGUGUAUAGUUUGUUCUUCCUGUUUUGCAUAGAAAAGUUGGUGUAGGCUAAGUGAGCUCUGAUUUAUAAAAUUUUGUUUACGGGAAUGGAGCUGGGUGUCUGUAUUCCUCUGAAUUUUUUCUAUCUUCAUUCCUACUUCCUGGUUAUUUAUUAGCAGUAUUGACUGUCUUUGGCACUAUUCCCAUUGGAGCGUUAGUUUAAUAUGUAUUUCUCUUAAUUUGUCUGAGAAGACUUUGUUGCUGAAGUUUUACAUUACUUAAUGAUGAAAAUCUUGUAGCUGAACUUAAGCUGCAUAAGUUCAUUGGUCGUGGUGUCGUCAGCCACAGUGAGUUUAAUUGGAAAUUAAACAUUUCCAAUGAAUUCCCUUCCCCCAAAGAUAGGCUCCUUUGUAAUCCCUUUUGUCAUGGGGAAGCUGUUGGGUGCUGCAAAAUAGAAGGGGAAUAUCUGAUUUCCAAAAAUUGCUGCCUCUAGUGGCUGCAGGUUUUUUUUGUUAUGGAAAUUAAAGACUUCCUCCCAGUCCUGUGGUUUCCAACAGCUUCCCCAUGACAAAAGGGAUUGAUCCCAAGGGAGCCUCUGGAAUUAGAAGUUUCAAUUUUUGAAAAACUUUAAUCUCUGUAUGUGGCAUAACAUUUUGCAGAAGGAUUUCAGCCACUGAGUAUGUAGUUUAAUGAUAAAAGCAGGAAGUUAGGUAACACGGAUUUAUAUUUGGCUCAGUUUGUGAACUUUGCAUUAUUUAGAAAUUACUUUUUAAUUCUUUAAAAAUUGCUCCUCUAAAACAUACUGUGAUGUAUUUUAUUAUAAUCAUAAGUCUGGAACUUUUGAGGAGGUUCUUAAAUUAUUUCUUUGGCAUAUUAUACUUUAUUGAUAGAUGGACAUUCAUUUUCUUUAUUAAUCAUCCAAACCAUUAUUCUUUAGCAUUAUGAGAGGUGGCACUAGAAUUUAUUUUGAUAAUGUAUUUCGUUACAAUAUGUAUUUGUGAAUUCAUUUCAAGCUGAGGGUAAAUGGUGGAAUCAUAUGAUUGUGUGUUCAAUGACCUAAAUGUUGUUGGACUUUGCAUACAUGAAGAGACAUCAUUUAAGUGGCUGCAGCUGAUUGAAGAGAUGCCCACUGUAUGAUCAGAAGUACAAAUGGCAUACGCCUUGCACCUUAUUAGUUACUGUGCUUGUUUGUUAGCAGUAGCAAUUUACAUGAUCCUUUGCAUGUGUGUAAAAUUCUAGCAGGCUUUUGGUAGCUGUUACAUUAAAUAAAAUAAGUCUAGUUUUCAU